GGUCCAGACUCCUACGGGAGGCAGCAGUGGGGAAUAUUGCACAAUGGGGGAAACCCUGAUGCAGCGACGCCGCGUGAGUGAAGAAGCGCCUCGGCGCGUAAAGCUCUGUCAGCAGGAACGAUAAUGACGGUACCUGAAGAAGAAGCCCCGGCUAACUACGUGCCAGCAGCCGCGGUAAUACGUAGGGGGCAAGCGUUAUCCGGAUUUACUGGGUGUAAAGGGAGCGUAGACGGUAAUGCAAGUCUGGAGUGAAAGGCGGGGGCUCAACCCCCGGACUGCUCUGGAAACUGUGUAACUGGAGUGCAGGAGAGGCAGGCGGAAUUCCUAGUGUAGCGGUGAAAUGCGUAGAUAUUAGGAGGAACACCAGUGGCGAAGGCGGCCUGCUGGACUGUAACUGACGUUGAGGCUCGAAAGCGUGGGGAGCAAACAGGAUUAGAUACCCGCGUA
rnacentral:rRNA from 1 species